GCUUUUGUAGUUUCAGAAAAACGAGGGCUUUUCAAGCCCUAAACCCAAGUUAGACUCUUGGUAAAAGCA
rnacentral:tRNA from 1 species